rnacentral:misc_RNA from 1 species
AGAGCUUAAUAGCUUGAUGACUUGUCUUAAUGAUGAUGGAUUAUUUCAGGUGGAAGGACAUGAAGUUACUGCCUUUUUGUAUUCAGUAGUAGGUCUGCAGGAACAAAUCGGAUUAGAGCAGCAGCAGAAAUCUUGGCCUGCUUUAAAUGAUCUCUUAUUAACUUAUAAUGAUUUGUUUUAGGAGCCAAAGACCUUGCCCCCAA